rnacentral:rRNA from 1 species
CCUACGGGUUGCAGCAGUGGGGAAUAUUGCGCAAUGGGCGCAAGCCUGAAGCAGCGAUGCCGCGUGAGGGAUGACGGUCUUCGGAUCGUAAACCUCUGUUAGCAGGGAAGAACGGUCACUGUGCUAAUCCGCAGUGAAUUGACGGUACCUGCAACGGCAGCACAGGCGAACUCCGUGCCCGCCGCCGCGGUAAUACGGAGGGUGCGAGCGUUAAUUGGAUUUACUGGGUGGAAGGGGAGCGUGUGCGGGAGGUCAGGGCAAGGGUGAAGUCCCCGGGCUCAACGUGGGAACUGCCUUUGAUACUGGCAAACUGGAGUGUGUGUGAGGUUGGUGGAAUGCCAGGUGUAGGGGUGAAAUGCGUAGAUAUCAGGCGGAACACCGGUUGCGAAGGCGACUAUCGAGCACAUAACUGACGCUGAGGAGCGAAAGCGUGGGUAGCAAACAGGAUUAGAUACCCGUGUAGUC